UACGGAGGAUCCGAGCGUUAUCCGGAUUUAUUGGGUUUAAAGGGUGCGUAGGUGGUUUGAUAAGUCAGCGGUGAAAGUUUGCAGCUUAACUGUAAAAAUGCCGUUGAAACUGUCGGACUUGAGUGUAAAUGAAGUAGGCGGAAUGCGUGGUGUAGCGGAGAAAUGCAUAAAUAUCACGCAGAACUCCGAUUGCGAAGGCAGCUUACUAAGCUACAACUGACACUGAAGCACGAAAGCGUGGGGAUCAAACAGGAUUAAAUACCCUGGUAGUCCACGCAGUAAACGAUGAUUACUAGCUGUUUGCGAUACACAGUAAGCGACACAGCGAAAGCGAUAAGUAAUCCACCUGGGGAGUACGCCGGCAACGGUGAAACUCAAAGGAAUUGACGGGAGCCCGCACAAGCGGAGGAACAUGUGGUUUAAUUCGAUGAUACGCGAGGAACCUUACCUGGGUUUGAACGUAGGGAGACAGGAGUGGAAACAUUCUAUUCAUCAAUGACUGCCUACGAGGUGCUGUAUGGUUGUCGUCAGCUCGCGCCGUGAGGUGUCGGCUUAAGUGCCAUAACGAGCGCAACCCUUAUUUCCAGUUACUAACGGGUCAAGCUGAGGACUCUGGAGAGACUGCCAGCGUAAGCUGUGAGGAAGGGGGGGAUGACGUCAAAUCAGCUCGGUCCUUUCAUCCGGGGCGACACACGUGUUACAAUGGUAAGGACAAAGGGCAACUCCCGGGCGACCAGAUACGAAUCUCUAAACCCUAUCUCAGUUCGGAUCGGAGUCUGCAACUCGACUCCGUGAAACUGGAUUCGCUAGUAUAUCGCGCAUCAACCAUGGCGCGGUGAAUUCGU
rnacentral:rRNA from 1 species